UUCCACUUGUGGCAUCACGUCAGUGCUCAAAAUGUUUCAGAUUUUGGAGCACUUCAGAUUUUGGACUUUGGGAUUAGGGAUGCUCAACCUGUAUUACACUAUAUUCAUUUCAAUUCAUUAUUAUUCUUUUUUACUGGAAAAAGCAUUGAGUGCUUGCUGGCUUUGUAACAGGCACAUGCUAAUGCUGUCCAGAGGGCUUCAUAACCACGAAAUAUAGUGCAGUUAUUUCAAAUGUUGACCUAAUUUUUCUAAAGUUACACAUG
rnacentral:lncRNA from 1 species